rnacentral:lncRNA from 1 species
GAAAUAUCAGAACUAUAGAGGAAACAGCUCCUUUUCCAUCACCUUCAAAUGAAUAAACGCAACAUGAGAUUUUUUUGUGACUUUCCUUAAUGAAAAACUGAACCAAAGUAAUAGAUUUAAUGUAUGAGAAUCAAAACUUGGGAAUUUAAAAUUUUACAUUUAGUAACCUCUCAUCAGGGAGUGAGGGAUGGGGUUUAAGCGUUUAUUGGAGGUAGUAAUAAGGAGGGAAACAAUUUUUCAUGAAUUUUUUUUUUUAGGUGAGGUUGUAUCCACUUUCUCUUAUAUCAGGCUUCUUAAAAAAAUCAAGGCUCAAGACCUUGGUUUGUUACUCUGCCGCUUGCAGUCAAGAUGAAAUAACAGAGACUAGAGUUACAAUUCCUGCCUAAAGAUAUAAAAAAAUAAAUAAAACAAUGGUUUUCAAAAUACAAUCACUAGGGAAAAAAGGGCUGUGACUCUCGAGAGACAAAUAACCCAAUUUUUAAAAUGGGCAAAAGAUUUGAACAGACACUUCACUAAA